ACAAAAUUCUGGAUCCGUCACUGACUCGAGGACCAUCGGCUACUUAGGCCUCAUAUUGACUGUAGCAAAACUCCACCAAUCGUUGUCUCUGAUAUGAUUGAGAUCAAGCAGAUGGCCUUUUCUACGGUUUUGGAGUCCUACUUUAGCAACAUGUUGAGUGAAUACAAGAAAAAACCGGCGAAGUAGAAGAAGACAACCGAUUGGAUAGAUCAUAGAGCCAGAAUUUUUUUUAUUUUGGAGACGAGUCGAUUUGGUGACGAGGAGAAUGUGAACCUUCUGAACCACUUCAUCCUAUAGUUGACAAAGGAGAAGGCGAACCUUCUGAACCACUUCAUCCAAUAGUUUAUAAGAAUCUUUUGAACCAAUUCGGUGGAAAUAGCAAGGUAGGUAGCUCAUUGACAAUGGUGGAGAUGCCAGACCAUUCCAUCAAUUUUAAUGUAGAUUUACGGAGUGCAGUAACUUUCCGGCGCCCAGCAUCGGAAAAUCACCUAUGGGCAUUUUGGAGUGAGCCGACUCUCUGUCCUUGCAGUAAGCUCUCUCUCUGUCUCAUAUCUCUCUUAAUUUCUCACUUCAUUUCUUGUUAAAAUUUUCUAUUAAUAGAGAAAUAAGUUCUUCCAUUAAUUUGCUAGUAUUUAUGAAUGAAAAAUGACUCAGAAAAGAAAAAAAAAAAAAAAAAAAAACAAAUUCUGUUAAUCCGAUUUUGCAAACUGACGUCCAUAGCCUAAUGGGUUUUUAUUCAUUUGAUACAGUGAAUGAGUCCCACACUACCCACUGCAUCGAAGGGGAUAAAUCCCUUCCGCUUUGCAUAUUUUUUGAGUUAAAGAAAUAAGUUCAAAUGACAUAUUCUUUAUUUUGACAUGGAAAAUUUUAAUGUAGGUGGUAGUAUUACCGAUUCAGUAACUAGUGUUGGCUUUUGCUCUGAUACCACUUUGUUGGAAAUAGUGGCCUAGUUACACACACAAUACUAUACUAUUUGGAAGAGAAUAGAAAUGGAGGAAAAUACUUUUUAUUUCACUUCAAUCUAUUAUUUGACUAGAGUACAUGAAUAUAUAGGCCUCACAUAUGUAUGUGUAACCAUUACAUUUAAAUGUCCAUAACUCUCCUAUCUCCCACUAACAUAAUCUUCAAUAUGCAUAACUCCCACUAAUAUAGUAUUUGUUAGGCUUAACUCUCAUGACUCUUUAUUUUACAUAACCUUAACUCCCACUAAGACAAUUUACUACCCACUAACAUGCUAAAUUAACACAUACAUCAUGGAUACAAAAAUACUUGAAAAUACUAAAUACUAAAAUCAAGUUUAUUUUCAACACCCCCCUUUAAACUUGAUUUUGUAACUUGAAAAACCUUCUUAUUAAUCUUGGGGGCUUGAUCAAAAGUUCGAUAGUUGAUCUUCAAUUCCACCUCCUUCAAUAGCUUCAAUCUUCUUGGCCAUUUCCAUUGAUGUGUAGGGCUUGUGAAACUUCUUCAAAUGCUUGUUUGAUAUCGUCACAUAAUCAUAUAUCAUCCUCUUUAUACAAGCACACCAUCGAUCUUUUUUCUUCUUAAAUUUUUUAUGGAUCUUCAACUUCACAUAUACUUCUUCUUUAGAGUCA